rnacentral:rRNA from 1 species
GAUGAACGCUGGCGGCGUGCCUAAUACAUGCAAGUCGAGCGAACGGACGAGAAGCUUGCUUCUCUGAUGUUAGCGGCGGACGGGUGAGUAACACGUGGAUAACCUACCUAUAAGACUGGGAUAACUUCGGGAAACCGGAGCUAAUACCGGAUAAUAUUUUGAACCGCAUGGUUCAAAAGUGAAAGACGGUCUUGCUGUCACUUAUAGAUGGAUCCGCGCUGCAUUAGCUAGUUGGUAAGGUAACGGCUUACCAAGGCAACGAUGCAUAGCCGACCUGAGAGGGUGACCGGCCACACUGGAACUGAGACACGGUCCAGACUCCUACGGGAGGCAGCAGUAGGGAAUCUUCCGCAAUGGGCGAAAGCCUGACGGAGCAACGCCGCGUGAGUGAUGAAGGUCUUCGGAUCGUAAAACUCUGUUAUUAGGGAAGAACAUAUGUGUAAGUAACUGUGCACAUCUUGACGGUACCUAAUCAGAAAGCCACGGCUAACUACGUA